CCCCCUCUAGGGCUGACUGUGCUGGCUCACGCCUGUAAUCUCAACACUUUGGGAAGCUGAGGCAGGAGGAUUGCGUGAGGCCAGUAGUUCCAGAGCAGCUUGGGCAGCAUAGCAAGACUCCGUCUCUAAAAAACAAACUGUAAAAUAUUUAAUAAAAAUAAUAGUAAUCUCUAUCUGGGCCUCAUCUAGACCUUUAGGUGAGUAAGAACCACCUAAUGUAAGAACUUGGGGUACAAAGAGAAUCUAGCUCUGGGGUAGGCAAACUGAGCCAGCCGACCUAAUACAUGGAGCCUACCACCUGUUUUUCUACAGCCCUGAGUGAGCAUAUAUUACUAACUUCAAUAUGGAAAGAAUAAUAACUGAGCCACAGGAAAACAUCCAUUUAUUUGAAAAGAGAUCUUAGCUGCAAACAUGACUAUUAAAGAAAAUCUGAUCAAUGUGUCCUGAGGCUUGCUGGUUCCUCAAUUUCUUGUGGCUGGGCCAUGGCUACUUGGCAGUAUGGCUACCACUUGAGGUUCAUAUGCAGAAGGGACUUGCCUUUUCUCAGAUGAGAUGUUGGACUCGGACUUUUGAGUUAAUGCUGAAAUGAGCUAAGACUUUGGGGAACUGUUGGGAAGACAUGAUCGGUUUUGAAAUGCGAGAAGGACAUGAGAUGUGGGAGGGGCCAAGGGUGGAAUUAUAAGGUUUAGCUCUGUGUCCCCACCCAAAUUUCAUCUCGAAUUGUAAUUCCUAAUGUUGGGGAAGGGACCUGGUGGGAAGUGAUUGGAUCAUGGGGGUGGACUUCCCUCAUGCUGUUCUCCUGAUAAUGAGUGAGUUCUCAUGAGAUCUGCUUGUUUAAAGGUGUAUGGCACUUCCCCCCUUGCUCACGCUUUCUCUCUUCUGCUGCCAUGAGAAGAAAGUGCUUGCUUUCCCUUUGCUUUUCUCCCAUGAUUCAGUUUCUGAGGCCUCCCAGUCAU
rnacentral:lncRNA from 1 species